AACGAACGCUGGCGGCAGGCUUAACACAUGCAAGUCGAACGCUCCGCAAGGGGAGUGGCAGACGGGUGAGUAACACGUGGGAACGUGCCCCAAUGGUACGGAAUAGCUCCGGGAAACUGGAAUUAAUACCGUAUGAGCCCGCAAGGGGAAAGAUUUAUCGCCAUUGGAUGAACCCGCGUCGGAUUAGCUAGUUGGUGUGGUAAAGGCGCACCAAGGCGACGAUCCGUAGCUGGUCUGAGAGGAUGAUCAGCCACACUGGGACUGAGACACGGCCCAGACUCCUACGGGAGGCAGCAGUGGGGAAUAUUGGACAAUGGGCGCAAGCCUGAUCCAGCCAUGCCGCGUGAGUGAUGAAGGCCUUAGGGUUGUAAAGCUCUUUCGCCGACGAAGAUAAUGACGGUAGUCGGAGAAGAAGCCCCGGCUAACUUCGUGCCAGCCGCCGCUGUAACAC
rnacentral:rRNA from 1 species